GACUCUCCUGCCUUGUUCCUGCCCACAGGUGAAAUUGUGGCAUAUACCUGGGUCCAGAUCACAGGCACAAUGAUGACUCUCUUACCUGGACACAGCCAGUGGGAAAUAUUUUGACUUUUGUAGCCAGGCUUAGGGCCACAGGUGGUUUGGUGACUCUCAAACCAUGAUUCAGCAGACCUGUGAGGCUGUGAGUUCCCUAUCAGAACACAAUCUGCAGGUGAGAUUGGGGCUGUUGUGCAUGGAUUUGUGCAUUGUUGAGACUGUAACUCCUUUACUUGAACCCCACUCACAGGAGGGGUUGCCUCUCAUACAUGAAGCCAGGACUCGUGUGAAACUGUGAAACUCAUUUCUGUACAUUCCCAAGUGUGUGAUUGGGAAAUAUACCUUUGCCCAGAACCUGAGUGAUCUGACUGUUUCCUAGGCCCAGCCCACACAUAAAAUUGUGACAUAUACCUGGGCCACCCACCUAAGUAACGUGAAACUCCUUCCUGGGCCCUGCCUGCCAAGGGCAUUUUUACAUUUCACUGUGACCAGCAUCCACCCAGGUGCUGUGACUCCCCUGCCUGGUACCUGCCUACAAAGAGCAUUGUGACUUAUUUCUGGGUUCAUUAUGUAGGUGAUGUGACUUCAUUCUACUGCCUUGGCUCUGUGCUUAGAGUGCAUUGUGACAUUUAGCUGGGUACUGCACCCACAUAAUGUGACUCUCCUGACUGAGUUCUUCCUACAGGAAGCAUUGGAACAUAUCACUUAGCCCAGCACCUAGGUGGAUGGGAUUCCCUUUCUUGCCUGGUCCCUGCCCACUGGAGAGAUUGUGACCCAUUGCUGAGCCCAGCACCAAGGUGAUGUCACUCUCCUGCCUUGGCCAUGCCCAUGAGGGCCACUGUGACACCUGUCUAGGCUAAUUACUUAGGUGAAGUGAGUCUCCUUUCCUGCCUAAGCUCUGCCUACAAGGGGGAUUUUGAUAUAUCACUGGGCCCAGCAGCCAGGUGAUGUGACUCUUCUGCCAGGGUCCUGCCUACAAGGGGGAUUGUGACAUGUCUCUGGACCAGCACCCAAGUGAUGUGUCUUUUCUGGCCUUUCCCUCCCCACAGGUUGUAUUGUGCCAUAUACCUGGGACCAAAUUACAAGCACAAUGAUGAAUCUUUUACCUGGAGUCAAGACAUGGGCAGGAUGAUGGAACUUAUCACUGGACCUUUCCACAGUGUUAUUGUGACAUAUGCCUUUGCCCAACAUGUGGUGAUUUGACUCCCCAGACUGGGUCCAGUUCACAAAUAAAAUUGUGCCGUAUACUUGGCCAAGAACCUAAUAGGUGUAAUUGAUGUGCCUGGG
rnacentral:lncRNA from 10 species